rnacentral:rRNA from 1 species
GAUCAAGCUAAAAAGGGCUGACGGUGGAUACCUAGGCACACAGAGGCGAAGAAGGACGUGGCUACCGACGAAACGCUUCGGGGAGCUGGAAGCUUGCUGAGAUCCGGAGAUGUCCGAAUGGGGCAACCCUUUGUACUACCUGCUGAAUAUAUAGGCAGGAAAGAGCGAACCGGGCGAACUGAAACAUCUUAGUAGCCCGAGGAAAAGAAAGCAAAAGCGAUUCCCCUAGUAGCGGCGAGCGAAGCGGGAACAGCCUAAACCACUAGCUAUAAGCUAGUGGGGUAGUGGGACAGCACCACGGGAGAUGGCGGACUAGACGAAGCAGUUGAAAACUGCACCAGAGAAGGUGAAAGUCCUGUAGUCAAAAGAACAAAAUCCCCAGCUGAAUCCCGAGUAGCACGGGACACGUGGAAUACCGUGUGAAUCAGCCAGGACCACCUGGUAAGGCUAAAAACUACUGUGUGACCGAUAGCGAACGAGUACCGCGAGGGAAAGGUGAAAAGAACCCCGGGAGGGAAGUGAAAAAGAACAUGAAACCGUCAGCUUACAAGCAAUGGGAGGACGAUUAAACGUCUAACCGUGUGCCUGUUGAAGAAUGAGCCGGCGACUUAUAGGCGAUGGCAGGUUAAGACGGUGAAAGUCGAAGCCAAAGCGAAAGCGAGUCUGAAAAGGGCGUAUAGUCAUCGUUUAUAGACCCGAACCCGGGUGAUCUAACCAUGUCCAGGAUGAAGCAAGGGUAACACCUUGUGGAGGUCCGCACCGACCGAUGUUGAAAAAUCGGCGGAUGAGGUGUGGUUAGGGGUGAAAUGCCAAUCGAACCCGGAACUAGCUGGUUCUCCCCGAAAUGCGUUGAGGCGCAGCGGUUGAGGUCAAAUCUGGGGGUAAAGCACUGUUUCGGUGCGGGCUGCGAGAGCGGUACCAAAUCGAGACAAACUCAGAAUACCAGAUGUAUUGCUCAGCCAGUGAGACGGUGGGGGAUAAGCUUCAUCGUCAAGAGGGAAACAGCCCAGACCACCUGCUAAGGUCCCAAAAUGACUGCUAAGUGAGAAAGGAGGUGGGGGUGCUUAGACAACCAGGAGGUUUGCCUAGAAGCAGCAAUCCUUGAAAGAGUGCGUAAUAGCUCACUGGUCAAGGGCUCCUGCGCCGAAAAUGAACGGGGCUAAGCAGUAUACCGAAGCUGUGGGAUUGUUAAAACAAUCGGUAGGGGAGCGUUCCGUAUAGGGAGAAGCAGUAGCGGCAAGCAGCUGUGGACAGUACGGAAGUGAGAAUGUCGGCUUGAGUAGCGCAAACUAGGGUGAGAAUCCCUAGCCCCGAAACCCUAAGGGUUCCUCCGGCAGGCUCGUCCGCGGAGGGUUAGUCAGGACCUAAGGCGAGGCCGAAGGGCGUAGUCGAUGGACAACGGGUCAACAAUCCCGUACCGGUGCUAGUAGGUGCAGAGGGACGGAGAAGGUCAAGACCAGCCGGACGAUGGUUACCGGUUCAAGCAAGCAAGGCGUAGAGGGAUGGGGAAAACAUCCGGAGUUGAGCUGCGAGUACGAGCUGCUACGGCGGCGAAGUGGGACGAGAUCGAGCUUCCAAGAAAAGCUCUAAACACUAUUGCUAGGACUGCCUGUACCCGAAACCGACACAGGUGGGGAGGUAGAGAAUACCAAGGGGCGCGAGAUAACUCUCUCUAAGGAACUCGGCAAAAUGGCCCCGUAACUUCGGGAGAAGGGGUGCCCUCAGAAAUGGGGGUCGCAGUGAAGAGGCCCAGGCGACUGUUUACCAAAAACACAGGUCUCCGCGAAGUCGCAAGACGAAGUAUGGGGGCUGACGCCUGCCCAGUGCCGGAAGGUUAAGGAAGUUGGUCAGGGGUAACCCGAAGCUGACGACUGAAGCCCCGGUGAACGGCGGCCGUAACUAUAACGGUCCUAAGGUAGCGAAAUUCCUUGUCGGGUAAGUUCCGACCCGCACGAAAGGCGUAACGAUCUGGGCGCUGUCUCGGAGAGAGGCUCGGCGAAAUAGGAAUGUCUGUGAAGAUACGGACUACCUGCACCUGGACAGAAAGACCCUAUGAAGCUUUACUGUAGCCUGGAAUUGGGUUCGGGCUUGGCUUGCGCAGGAUAGGUGGGAGGCGUAGAAGUUCACCUUGUGGGGGGAACAGAGCCAUCGGUGAGAUACCACUCUAGCGAGGCUAGGAUUCUAACCAACAGCCGUUAGCCGGCUGGGGAACAGUUUCAGGUGGGCAGUUUGACUGGGGCGGUCGCCUCCAAAAAGGUAACGGAGGCGCGCAAAGGUUCCCUCAGGCUGGACGGAAAUCAGCUGGCGAGUGUAAAGGCAAAAGGGAGCUUGACUGCGAGACAAACAAGUCGAGCAGGGUGGAAACACGGCCUUAGUGAUCCGACGGCGCCGAGUGGAAGGGCCGUCGCUCAACGGAUAAAAGUUACUCUAGGGA